AGUGAACGCUGGCGGUAGGCCUAACACAUGCAAGUCGAACGGCAGCACAGUAAGCGCUUGCUCUUACGGGUGGCGAGUGGCGGACGGGUGAGGAAUACAUCGGAAUCUACUUUUUCGUGGGGGAUAACGUAGGGAAACUUACGCUAAUACCGCAUACGACCUACGGGUGAAAGCAGGGGAUCUUCGGACCUUGCGCGAUUGAAUGAGCCGAUGUCGGAUUAGCUAGUUGGCGGGGUAAAGGCCCACCAAGGCGACGAUCCGUAGCUGGUCUGAGAGGAUGAUCAGCCACACUGGAACUGAGACACGGUCCAGACUCCUACGGGAGGCAGCAGUGGGGAAUAUUGGACAAUGGGCGCAAGCCUGAUCCAGCCAUACCGCGUGGGUGAAGAAGGCCUUCGGGUUGUAAAGCCCUUUUGUUGGGAAAGAAAAGCAGCAGGUUAAUACCCCGCUGUUCUGACGGUACCCAAAGAAUAAGCACCGGCUAACUUCGCG
rnacentral:rRNA from 1 species